rnacentral:hammerhead_ribozyme from 1 species
AUCCAGCUGACGAGUCUCAAACAGAACGAAAUGGGCAUCCUAGAU